AGAGUUUGAUCAUGGCUCAGGACGAACGCUGGCGGCGUGCUUAACACAUGCAAGUCGAACGAGAUCCAUCCGGUGGCAACACCGGAGAAGAUCUAGUGGCGAACGGGUGAGUAACACGUGAGGAACCUGCCCCGAAGACCGGGAUAACAGCGGGAAACCGCUGCUAAUACCGGAUACCCCCAUCGGACCACAUGGGCCGA
rnacentral:rRNA from 1 species